rnacentral:rRNA from 1 species
AUUGAACGCUGGCGGCAUGCUUUACACAUGCAAGUCGAACGGUAACAGGCCGCAAGGUGCUGACGAGUGGCGAACGGGUGAGUAAUGCAUCGGAACGUGCCCAGUCGUGGGGGAUAACGCAGCGAAAGCUGUGCUAAUACCGCAUACGAUCUAUGGAUGAAAGCGGGGGACCGUAAGGCCUCGCGCGGUUGGAGCGGCCGAUGUCAGAUUAGCUAGUUGGUGGUGUAAAGGCCCACCAAGGCGACGAUCUGUAGCUGGUCUGAGAGGACGACCAGCCACACUGGGACUGAGACACGGCCCAGACUCCUACGGGAGGCAGCAGUGGGGAAUUUUGGACAAUGGGCGCAAGCCUGAGCCAGCAAUGCCGCGUGCAGGAAGAAGGCCUUCGGGUUGUAAACUGCUUUUGUACGGAACGAAACGGUCUGGGUUAAUACCCUGGGCUAAUGACGGUACCGUAAGAAUAAGCACCGGCUAACUACGUGCCAGCCGCCGCGGUAACAC